ensembl:snoRNA
GGGACCAGUGAUAACCACUGGUGGCGUAUGAGUCAAGGAUGAUGACUGUCUCUGAAACUCUGAGGUCCAC